UACGUAGGGCGCAAGCGUUGUCCGGAAUUAUUGGGCGUAAAGAGCUCGUAGGCGGUCUGUCGCGUCGGAUGUGAAAGCCCGGGGCUUAACCCCGGGUCUGCAUUCGAUACGGGCAGACUAGAGUGUGGUAGGGGAGAUCGAAUUCCUGGUGUAGCGGUGAAAUGCGCAGAUAUCAGGAGGAACACCGGUGGCGAAGGCGGAUCUCUGGGCCAUUACUGACGCUGAGAAGCGAAAGCGUGGGGAGCGAACAGG
rnacentral:rRNA from 1 species